UACAGAGGUCCCGAGCGUUGUUCGGAUUCACUGGGCGUAAAGGGUGCGUAGGCGGUUCUGCAAGUCUGAUGUGAAAUCUCCGGGCCCAACCCGGAAAUGGCAUUAGAAACUGCAGGGCUAGAGGCUUGGAGGGGGAACUGGAAUGCUCGGUGUAGCAGUGAAAUGCGUAGAGAUCGAGCGGAACACCAGUGGCGAAGGCGAGUUCCUGGACAAGACCUGACGCUGAGGCACGAAAGCGUGGGGAGCAAACAGG
rnacentral:rRNA from 1 species